rnacentral:rRNA from 1 species
CGUGCAGGCGGUUUGGUUAGUUGGAUGUGAAAGCUCCUGGCUUAACUGGGAGAGGUCGUUCAAUACUGCCAGACUAGAGGACGGUAGAGGAAGGUAGAAUUCCUGGUGUAGUGGUGAAAUGCGUAGAUAUCAGGAGGAAUACCAGAGGCGAAGGCGGCCUUCUGGGCCGUUCCUGACGCUAAGACGCGAAAGCAUGGGUAGCAAACG